UUGUUUAUAGGAUGGACGACUUAAACAUCAGAAAAGCAACAGUAGACGAUUCCGACAUAGUAUAUGGAAUGCUAAAGGAUAUGCGAGAAGGUGAACGUCGUCUGGAUGCCUUUAUAAUUACUCCCGAAGAGUUCAAGCGUGACGGAUUUGGGGAGAACAAGUACUUUGAAGCAGUGAUAGCGGAGGACAAAAACAGUUAAGUGUGAAAACACUUCACGCGUAGUCAGCAUGAACAUCCUUGUUAUUUUGCUUUUACAUCUUCGUUCUUAAUUUUUUUUUAUUAAUUAAUUCAUUCAUUUGUUUAAACGGUCAUUCAUGUUUUAAUUUACUUACUUAUUUUCUUAUUCCUUUAAUAUUUAUUUUUGAACAGAUUUGAUAAAUUAAGUCAAAUAUAAUUAGCAUGUUGUACACGGUUCAUUUCAGAAAACGAAGCGAUUGGAUUUGCUACCUACUAUUUUGGAUACAGUGGUUACUGCGGGAGAAUUCUAUAUCUAGAAGAUAUCUAUAUAAAACCCGCAUAUAGGUUAAAACGUUACGGGACAGCGGUUUUCAAAUAUAUGGCAAAGGUAACGAUCGAUGAAAACGCGCGGCGUAUGAAAUGGCGCGUUAUGGACGACCCGUCGUUGAACACCAAGACUAUUGAAUUUUACAAGAAGUUUAACAGCAUUGACGACCAUGGAAAACAUUUGUAUCUUCAUGGCGAAGUCCUGAAGAAGUGUGCAGAGUUUUAGUUAAAGUACAAAAAUAAAACAAUACAAAAACCU
rnacentral:misc_RNA from 1 species